CAUGGGCUCGUCCCGGCGACAUAUCCAUCAAGUGUCUGCCUUAUCAACUGUCGAUGGUAGUUUAAGUGACUACCAUGGUUGUAACGGGUAACGGAGAAUAAGGGUUCGACUCCGGAGAGGGAGCCUGAGAAACGGCUACCACAUCCAAGGAAGGCAGCAGGCGCGCAAAUUACCCACUCUCAGAACGAGGAGGUAGUGACGAAAAAUAACGAGACAGUCUUCUAUGAAGUCUGUCAUCGGAAUGGGUACAAUACAAAACCUUUAACGAGGAUCUAUUGGAGGGCAAGUCUGGUGCCAGCAGCCGCGGUAAUUCCAGCUCCAAUAGCGUAUAUUAAAGUUGUUGCGGUUAAAAAGCUCGUAGUUGGAUCUGCGAUCAUAGAGGCUGGUUCCCUCACGGGAUACUGGUUCUCUUGAUCUACCUAGCUGGUUCUCCCUUGGUGCUCUUUACUGAGUGCCCUGGGUAGCUAGCUCUUUUACUUUGAAAAAAUUAGAGUGCUCAAAGCAGGCUUUUGCCUGAAUAGUGGUGCAUGGAAUAAUGGAAUAGGACCUCGGUUCUAUUUUGUUGGUUUUCGGAGCAUGAGGUAAUGAUUAAGAGGGACAGACGGGGGCAUUCGUACUGCUGCGUUAGAGGUGAAAUUCUUGGACCGUAGCAUGACGAACAACUGCGAAAGCAUUUGCCAAGAAUGUUUUCAUUAAUCAAGAACGAUAGUUAGAGGUUCGAAGGCGAUCAGAUACCGCCC
rnacentral:rRNA from 1 species